GCCCCCGUAGCUCAAUGGAUAGAGCAUACGCGUCCUAAGCGUGGGAUGGAGGUCCGAUUCCUCUCGGGGGUA
rnacentral:tRNA from 1 species